rnacentral:rRNA from 1 species
CCCUUAGAUGUUCUGGGCUGCACGCGCGCUACACUGACGCACGCAACAGGUGCCUGCUCCGAGAGGACUGGGUAAUCAUUUGAGUGUGCGUCGUGAUGGGGAUAGAAUAUUGUAAUUAUUACUCUUCAACGAGGAAUUCCUAGUAAGCGCAAGUCAGCAGCUUGCGCUGAUUACGUCCCUGCCCUUUGUACACACCGCCCGUCGCUCCUACCGAUGGGUGAUCCGGUGAAUGAUUCGGACUUCAGCGGCUCCUCGGGGGUGCGCCGGAGAAAGUUUUGUGAACCUUAUCACUUGGAGGAAGGAGAAGUCGUAACA